GACUCCAUAGCUCAGUUGGUUAGAGCGUAGCACUGUUACUCUGAAAGAGGUCGGAUCCUCAUGCUUCUGGUGUGUGGUUCCUUCCUCGCAUCCCACUUCCUCCUGUCGUCUCUUCAAGAGAUGCAAGAGAUGAGAUGCUGAGGUCGGCGGUUCGAGCCCGCCUGGGGUCG